CCUACGGGUGGCUGCAGUGGGGAAUAUUGGACAAUGGGGGGAACCCUGAUCCAGCCAUGCCGCGUGUGUGAAGAAGGCCCUCGGGUUGUAAAGCACUUUCAGUGAGGAAGAACGCCUGGUGGUUAAUACCCAUCAGGAAAGACAUCACUCACAGAAGAAGCACCGGCUAACUCCGUGCCAGCAGCCGCGGUAAUACGGAGGGUGCGAGCGUUAAUAGGAAUUACUGGGCGUAAAGCGCGCGUAGGUGGCUUGAUAAGCCGGUAUGUGAAAGCCCCGGGCUCAACCUGGGAACGGCAUCCGGAACUGUCAAGCUAGAGUGGAGGAGAGGAAGGUAGAAUUCCCGGUGUAGCGGUGAAAUGCGUAGAGAUCGGGAGGAAUACCAGUGGCGAAGGCGGCCUUCUGGGCUGACACUGACACUGAGGUGCGAAAGCGUGGGUAGCAAACAGGAUUAGAUACCCCGGUAGUC
rnacentral:rRNA from 1 species